GUGCUCAUUUUGGCAGCACAUAUAAUAAAUUUGGAAUAAUACAGAGAAGAUUAGCAUGGCCCCUGUGCAAUUUCCUCCUUCAGUAACUUCUUAUCUUGCAAACUUUU